UCGUAAAAAUGGUUCUUGUUGGCGUGAAUCGGUUUGUUGUCGUAGGAGUGAGACAUUUUUCUACCUUCCAUCGGAUUGCAUCUCUAACUAAAGUAACAGCUCCAUAUUCAAUAAGACAAUACAGCGACAGUGGAAAGACACCAUUAAAAAAACCAGUCACACCAGUGGGUAAACAUGAUGACAAUGCAGAAUGCAACAGGAAGUGGCCAACAGGUGAACACCCAGAUGCAGAAAAGGAGCCAUUAGAAGCAUGGCCAAACAUGUUAAUCCAAAACUGGCGAGAUCGGUGGACCAGAGACCAGAACCGACCAGAUAUGGAGAUGGGAAAGGAAAGGACGAUGUAUUGACUUUUGAGUGUUUUUACUAGUUAACCUGCAGUAUAAUAGUAACAAAUUAAAAAAGACAUGUAGAAUUGUUGUUGAUGUAAUUUAUAGAACAUCUCAUGCUCCUUACAUUAAGUAUUUCACAAUUUAGCAAUUCGUGAAAGAUUGUUAAUUUUGACACUUGUUUAAAAGGAUGUCAAGGCAGUGCCUCAAUGCUGUUACACGCCAUAUUGAAAAGGUGCUUAUCUUAACUUAACCAUUGAAGUUGUAAUUUGAAUGCAAAGCUUCAUAUAACAUAAUAUUUAUUAAAGCGGUACCACAUUUUGUUCAAUACGAGCCCUAUGUGGCUACAAAACAUGUAAAAUACAUUGCUUGUUUACACAAGUGUGGUUCUUGUCUUUAUUAUUACAACUGUAUAGAAACAUGCAUAUUUAUGGUUUACAUAUAUAUAUUACGUAUGUAAUUGAAGAAUUCAUAUAUCAUAAAUAAAACACCAUGCAAUUUA